UACGUAUGGUGCAAGCGUUAUCCGGAUUUACUGAGUGUAAAGGGAGCGUAGGCGGCGCGUUAAGUCUGAUGUGAAAACCCGAGGCUCAACCACGGGAGUGCAUUGGAAACUGGCGGGCUGGAGUGCCGGAGAGGUAAGCGGAAUUCCUAGUGUAGCGGUGAAAUGCGUAGAUAUUAGGAGGAACACCAGUGGCGAAGGCGGCUUACUGGACGGCAACUGACGCUGAGGCUCGAAAGCGUGGGGAGCAAACAGG
rnacentral:rRNA from 1 species